rnacentral:lncRNA from 1 species
CCUAGUCUUUCCGGAGAUGCACCGUGAUCUACGGGUACGGAGCGUGCCGAGGAAAGACAGAUAUUUUUCCUAAGAUUAAUCACAUCUAUUUAGUUAAAAAAGAGAUACAACUCUGCUAGUGCAAAUUAAUUCAAAACUCCCGAGCUCUUUAUUUUUUAAUUAUCUCAAUUUUACGAUAAUUUAUUUUCUAAAUCAAAAACAACGCUUCUUUCUUUUAUCUUGCAAUCUCAACUUAGCCCA